GUUUAGUCCCCUACAGGCCAGUUUGUAGUUAAUAGGGUUUAGUCCCCUACAGGCCAGUCUGUAGUGAAUAGGGUUUAGUCCCCUACAGGCCAGUUUGUAGUUAAUAGGGUUUAGUCCCCCACAGGCCACUCUGUAGUGAAUAGGGUUUAGUCCCCUACAGGCCAGUUUGUAGUUAAUAGGGUUUAGUCCCCUACAGGCCAGUCUGUAGUGAAUAGGGUUUAGUCCCCUACAGGCCAGUUUGUAGUUAAUAGGGUUUAGUCCCCCACAGGCCAGUCUGUAGUGAAUAAGGUUUAGUCCCCUACAGGCUAAUCUGUUGUGAAUAGGGUUUAGUCCCCCACAGGCCAGUCUGUACUGAAUAGGGUUCAGUCCUCUACGGGCCAGUCUUAUAUGACACUGUUAUUUACUAACCUACUCCACCAUGGUAAACAUGUGACUUGUGUUUUUCCUAUAGCAACUAGCUGGUCACAGUCAUCAUCCCUUUGCACUGACACAUUCUAUCAAGGCUUGUCUGAGGGCCUGAUGGAUAGUUAAUCUAUUGAUCAGUGUUGUCUGAGGGCCUAAUGGAUAGUUAAUCUAUUGAUCAGUGUUGUCUGAGGGCCUAAUGGAUAGUUAAUCUAUUGAUCAGUGUUGUCUGAGUGCCUGAUGGAUAGGUAAUCUAUUGAUCAGUGUUGUCUGAGUGCCUGAUGGAUAGGUAAUCUAUUGAUCAGUGUUGUCUGAGGGCCUAAUGGAUAGUUAAUCUGUUGAUCAGUUCUGUCUGAGGAACUGAUUGAUAGGUAAUAUAUUGAUCAGUUCUGUCUGAGGGCAUGCUAGAUAGGUGAUCUAUUGAUCAGUUCUGUCUGAGGGCCUGAUGGAUAGUUAAUCUAUUGAUCAGUUCUGUCUGAGGGCAUGCUAGAUAGUUAAUCUAUUGAUCAGUUCUGUCUGAGGGCAUGGUAGAUAGUUAAUCUAUUGAUCAGUUCUGUCUGAGGGCAUGCUAGAUAGGUGAUCUAUUGAUCAGUUCCUGUCUUAGGGCAUGCUAGAUUGGUGAUCUAUUGAUCAGUUCUGUCUGAGGGCAUGGUAGAUAGGUGAUCAAUGGAUCAGUUCGAUCUGUGGGCAUGGUAGAUAGGUGGCUGACCUAGAGUGUUACAGGCUGAUCUAGCAGGCCAGUUCAUCUGUGACACCCCUCUGGUUGGCCUGUUUAUUUUAAACUACCCAGUGGGAAAUACGUUUGAGGAUGCAGGAUAACAGUAUAGCACAACAUACAGUAUAUGAAUAAAUAUUCACAUGUCUCUUUGUUAUUUAUUGCUAGACAGGUGUUGCCUGUUUUUCAUUUUCUACCCUGUUUGAUUUCACUGUGGAACAAAAGAGAGUUUUGAUUGGAUGAAGGGACAAUGUUUGUUCACUAGGAAGUAAAAGCCUGACGUGUAUCCAUUCAUCCGUCUUGCCGACCCCUCCCUCCCCCUACGGCCUAACUAGUUUGACCCCUGACCUAUAACUUAAGGAACAGGUGCCUCAAGAUGAAGUGAGAUCACCUGACACAAGCCAACUUCCUGUCGUCGUUAUUCGUUUUAUUAUUGAUGUAGUGUUUAAGAGUGUCAGGCUGAGAUUCAAUCUGAUCUGUGUUAGAGUUCCUCCACAGUGCGCGUCACUUUAUGAUGGCCAUUUACGAUUGAUCCGACAAUUACAGAGUAACUUCACAGACAAAAGGGGGUUCCUCUGGCCAGAUGUUGCAGAUCAGUUGGGGAGGUGGCACGCAACCCUUGGUCUAUGCCUGUAACGUGUGAACAGAGGAACGUGCCCAAAGCGAGACAGGGUUUGAAUCCCAGCCUCACACAUAGGAUCUAGCUGUAGAAUCUGCUCUCAUUUAUUUUUGAUUUAGAAGCAGACCCUUUUCCCUAAUGCCAUAUUUACCAAUGCAGUUUGGUAGAAAAUAAUACAGAAUUAAUCAUAAUAGUUUAAGAGUUUCACAGAUGUAUUUGAUUCCUCCAAUAUUUUUUAUGAGGAAACAUUUUGGACUAUUUGCAUGUUGCUGAGAAAGAAUUGAUAUUUUAAAAAAAGACAUCCGGAUGUUUUUGAGAUUUUUUUAUACAAACAUUUUCUGAUGUUUCUAGAUUAAUUGGGCAAAUGUACUGGGUUAGGUUCGUAUCAGCUAUAAUACUGAUUACACAUAUCUGAACUCAUAUUGUCUAACACCAGGCAGGUGUGUCUUUACAGAGCCAAAACAUAGGCCUUUUCUCAAUUGUGUUCUGCUCGCUUCCUGUCUCCUCACCUCUCUCUCCUCUCUCCUUGACUCCUCUCUCGGGUCUAUUUGAAAACCCACUGGAAGAGGGAAAGGACAUUCUGGAUGGAGAUGAGGAGAUGAGGAGCGAGAAAUGCUAACUUUGAAAAGGGAGACAGAUUCUGGCUCUAUUUAAUCUCAGAAACCAACAGAAAGUGACUUUCAGGUCUGAUGUUUAGGCCUACUAAGUAUCAAACCCACACUGUCAGUCCAUUAGGUCAUUUCCGUUCAGAUGAUCUGAUGUGUAUUGUAUCCAAGUAUGACAUAGUAUGAACCCUAAUAAAGUGUCACGAAAGAAUGUUUCUGUUCAUGAGGAUAAUAAAGAUAAUGGUGUUGAUGAAGAUGAAGAUGUGGGGAUGAUGAUUAUGUGUGUUAAGAUAAUGAUGAGGAUCUUUUUUUCAUAUUUAGAAGACUAAAUGUGAGACUCUGCACCAAUAGGUUCAACAGUAGAACAUUUAGGACGAGAGAGAUUCUAAUAUCCCAUGGUUCAACAAGGGACCAUGUUUCGUGUUUGGUAUGACUGGGAGUGAAUGCUAAAGUGAACAGUAAACUUAUGGUGAAUUUCAGCAGAAAUAUUCCAAAAAAGCCUAGCAAAACUGAUUUACCAUCAUUCUAUUAAUUUAGAUGUUUUAAGUGAUCUAAAGCCCAUUAUAACCACUGCUCAUGUUUUCAACGAUAAUCUAUCAAUGCACUGGUCCUAUGAAUUAAUUUUUUUCCUAACACAUCCACAUGGAAUCUCACAUAGUCUUAACCUGAUAUUGUUGAACCUAGCUAGGCUUCAGGGUGCCACAAAAAAGGCUUCAGAAUGUUGAAGGAACAGUCUUUGGAUUGUCAAUCCAGGCUUCAGAAUGUUGAAGGAACAGUCUUUGGAUUGUCAAUCCAGGCUUCAGAAUGUUGAAGGAACAGUCUUUGGAUUAUCAAUCCAGGCUUCAGAAUGUUGAAGGAACAGUCUUUGGAUUGUCAAUCCAGGCUUCAGAAUGUUGAAUGAACAGUCUUUGGAUUGUCAAUCCAGGCUCCAGAAUGUUCAAGGAACAGUCUUUGGAUUGUCAAUCCAGGCUCCAGAAUGUUGAAGGAACAGUCUUUGGAUUGUCAAUCCAGGGUUCAGAAUGUUGAAGGAACAGUCUUUGGAUUGUCAAUCCAGGCUUCAGAAUUUUUAUUUGUGAUGGAACCUGACCUUCAACCAUCAGAAGCCUUGUCUUUUUAACCCUUGAGGGAAGAGGGAGUGAGCCUAGGGUGUGUUCUGGCUGUCAAAAGACAUGCUAACUGUCCGCAAUAAUUUCCCAGAACUGAACGAGUGUUUCCAAGGCUGUACUUGUAACGUUUUAUUGUUGCUGAUUAUUAUAUUGAUCAAACAUUGUCUUGAAGGAUGUUCCCUGUUGUCUAAAAUAUAAACUUUUUU
ensembl:lncRNA